GCAGGUUUGGUACCCUGUAGAUCUGGGUUCAAGGCCGGGUGGGGUGACUGUCCUCUUUCUUCGCUACAAAUAGGGUUCACUCAAAUAAAUGUUUUAAACUUUGUAGAAGUUCCUGCAAUCAGGUGUGUGCAUGUUUGUGGACCUUGACACUGACUGCUGAUUGUUGUCUUCUGUUUAGUUAGAGGCUUAGCAGGUUUUUAUCUUGAUAUUUGGAAUUUGGCUUUCUCUUUAUUUUCAUUAAUAACUUUUUGGGUUGAAUUUUGAAUCUGCGUUCCCUAAUCUGCAUUUUGUGUGUUGGAUUUAUGGUGUGUUUGAUCUUUUUGAAGAGUUAAUAAACCCAUAUGACUUUUUAACCCUCACUCUGACUCUGAGCUUUUGGCCACACCCACAUAUAGACGGUGACCCAACGCUUGGGUCUUCACAAACACAGACAAAUAAAUUGACACUUCCGCCUCUUUACCUGAUAUCAUAAAUAGCUUCGCCCAGCAUGUCUGUCACUGUGGACACAUCUCUUAGGUCCUGUAAAUGCUCAGUGCAAUUUUAAUGCUGAUCAACUAAGGCAAGUAGUCCUAGAAGAAGUCACACUGUCAGAAGCAAAACUGGUUGAAAGGAGAGCAGUUUUAUUUAAUUACUGAUCACUGCUCUCUUUUUUUCAAUUCAUAGAAUGGUCUGCAUAUACAUUGACCUUGAAAUGAUGAUCUUGAUAUAUUCCGCCCUGUUGCAGAUCACUACUGUGUUUACAGGUAAGACCAAAUCUUAUAUAAACAUGAAUGAAAAUAAUUAUAUUACUUACUUGCUUGUUUCUAACUUUCCUUCUUUUCAAUUCUCUCUCUCUCUCUCUCUCUCUCUCUCUCUCUCUCUCUUUCUCUUCGGAUGGAAAACGUUACCAACCAGACACCACAGUAACAGCAAAGAUAGGAGACAAUGUAACUCUGAAAUGUGACGCAGAUGUAACAACUAACUUCAGCUCCAUCUCCUGGUUUCACCUAAAACCACCAAAACAUCUUCAAUAUAUUGUAGGAACUUUU
ensembl:lncRNA